AACAGCCAAGAAAUGGAAUCAAUGUCAAUAUCUGUGGACAGAAAAACAGGGAUAUGGAAUGGGUGUCUACCUAUAAAUACAUUCUGCUAAGGUUGGAGAUACCAUUUUGGAAAGAUAUUCUUACAUAUCAAGGCUUACAUCAAAAUGGAGAGAUGGAUGUGCAAAUAAGACACAAGGUCUGGAAAGAAUUAUCCUACAGAGAGAUUCAAAAAAGUAAAGAAACAACAGCAAGAAUUUGAAAUUGAUCCAAACUUGGAAUUCUAUAUAAGCCUUGGAUUCUAGAGAUGGAAAUCAUCUAUUUAAGGGGAGCAGCCCGAUUAUUCUCCAAAACAUCUCAAGGAAAUUGUCUCUAAGGAAGAACCACUGCACUUCAGAAGAGUCUCAAGGGUGUCUUUCAGUUCACUCAUUUUAUUUUCUGAGCACAGCACCUCUGUUGACUUUUCUUUCCAAAUCCUUUGCGCUGUUUCUAAGGGGCAAAGCUUGAGGCUCCCUCCUGGGCCUGAGGAUGUGAGCUCAACUUGGUGGCUUUUCACCUCUUGAGGAGCUGCAAGAGACAAGAAGCUAUGAAUAAUUACAUCCCUGAUGGUCUAAUUUUGAGGAAAUGUCUCAGAAAUUCAAUCCUAGGUUAGUCAGGAAUGUUGUGGAGUGAGCUCACUGUUAAUGGAACACUUUCCAAGCCAGAGACUUCCAGUACUUUGAUAUAGGGGUCAGGAUCAGCAUUAUAAUAAAAAUAUUUUUGAUAAAUACAUAGAAAGGAAGUUUCUUAAGGCCAUGAAUGAUUAAAAAAUACUGAGAAAACAAUCAGUAUUUUAGAAAUAUUGAAGGUAUAAAUUUACUUGAAAGAUUUAAAGCUUACAAUAAAAUUGUGGGGAGUUAGAGGUAGAGGACUUAAGGAACUAUAUUAAAAUGUUUUAUAAACUAUAGAUAUUUGCCUAUUAAUUUACAUAACAGGCAUGAUGAUAGACAUCAGGGAUAUAUAUAUUUUUUUAAAUGAGCCUUUGUUUCAUUCUUCAGGAUCAUUUUCCAAUGUGUACAGAUGUAAGGUAGAGAGGCAAGAUUGAAUAGAAGGACUGUAAUGAAGAAUGAUAAAUGCUAAAAUCAAAAUACACACUAAAUAGAUUCAUUUCACUAAGCACUGAUCACACAAAUAUAUUAAGAAGGGUUUUCACAGUAGUUGAUGUGCAAAAAUUCCUGAGGCUUUCAUUUGAUCACAAAUUCAAUACCAUCCAACAAUGUGAUGCACUUGCUAAAAAAAUUCAUGCAAUCUGUUGUAGUUCGGAAGAGAAAUGUUACAAUGAGAAAUUACAUUUAAUCUCAAAGAGGAACUUAAACUGUUGUAUACUCAAUAAAGUAAAUCAAGGUAUCAUAAUGUGUGUUGACUCCAAGAAUAGGGGCUAAAUAGAAUGGAUGUUUUGAAAAAAAAAAAAACACAUAGAAAUAAUUUUUAUGUGGGAUGAGUGGUCUGUUUCUGCAUAAAGAAAUCUACAGAAGAGUAGGAAAAACUAGAAAUGUUUGAAUUACUUUUUUUUUUUAGUAGUGGGAUAGUGCAUUGGUUAUGGUUAGUAUCCCUUCCCAUGAAACAUCUAAGAAAACAUAUGUGAGAUACUCUCCAUUAUUUGAUUCAGCAGAGCAAUGUUUUUAUUUAUUGAAAUACUUACUUUCCUGGUUUCUAAAUUUCUUCCAAAUAUAAGUUCCUUUCAUUUUUAAGAGAAAAGAAUCACCUUUGAAUUAAAUUAGUCUAGAAUUGUGAAUGGAAAACCAUUCUAGCACAUAAAAUCACUAAAUUUUUUUAAGAGGAUGGACUCAUGCAAAAGGAAAAUUGUCUUUUUGUUUUUAGGUUUAUUUAUUUUUUUCUUUUUUUAACCAAUGAACAAAAGGGUGCCUGUUGACCAUGUCAGGAUUCAUUAAGGCUGAGACCAUUUUCAAGGUACAGCACUGAAAUACUUAAGAUGUUGCUUGUCCUCUGAGACCUGAGUUUUUUCUGUGCUACCUCUAAUAUUGUGUAAAAUAAAGAGGUUUUACUAAUUUUUGUGGCAGAGACUGCACACUCUGAGCAUCUACAGAGACCACAAGAUGCUCUUCUCUUCCUCAUGGUACCCAGCUGGUUCAUGUUGCUAAUCACUCCAGAAGUUAGGUGUAGCCAAGUGACUGACUGUAAUGUGAGCACAUUUGAUACGAUGCACCUAGGCUGAACCUAGAUGACCUUCCAUAUUCUUUCCUAUGGCACAAACUUGAUGGUUAUGGCCACAUUAUUUUGGCAUCGUAUGUUACAGAUAUUUUCUUCCAUGGGAUGGAAGAUAUCUAGGUAUCUGGGUUAACAGUUGGAAGGGAGUGGCUGCUGAUCAAUAAAUGGCCAAUUCAGAAUUGUCAGGAAUGAAAACAAUUUUCUAUUAUCUAUAUGAGACAUUAUAAAAUUUUGACUUUAUUAUUGUAUCCUAUGUUGUCUUAACUUAUACAGGUAUGUGUAGUAUCUUUUGUAUUCCUAAAACUUUGGUAACUUUAAUUUGAUGAUAGAUUCCUAAAUACUUAUUCAUUUGAGAUUUAUGUACCCAUGCAAAUUCAAUCCAAGCAAAAACGUUAUUAGUCAUGUUCAUUAUUCUCUAACAGUACAGGAUCUGGAACAGAAUUAAUGUAAGAAAUAUUUUCCUAAUUGACUAGUAUCUGAUCAUAAUUAUGACAUAUAUUAUCUAACGAAAUGGUCUUUUAACAUUUAUUGCCUGCACACUAUGAGCCAACCAAGGUUAGAUAGAACUAUAACUAUGAAAAAAUAAAUAA